rnacentral:lncRNA from 1 species
AUGCUCUCGGUGUGUUCCAGGAGCCGAUUUGACUCUGUGGUCCUGCUCUUCUUCCCCCAGACACCAAGGCCAUCUUGUCGCCGCCUUCAGCUGCCUGUCCCUCCUUCUCCUCUUCUUUGCCAUCUUUUUCAUCUACAGAUGCUCUCAGGAUGGUUCAGCACCAGAAGAAUCCCCCCAGAGGUAAGUAUAGCCAAUAGAUCUCCUGCCCUGUGUAACUCCCACUCCAUCCUUCAGAGCCUGGUCUCAAAACGGUACCUCCCCCGCCCAACCCCACCUCUCUCAGCCCUGUGCUUACCCCAAAGUCUUCAGAUCCCACACGUGAACGUUUCUCUCUCUCAGAACCAUCCAUCCCAAGCAGGAGGCUGCAGGUUUAUGCAAGCUGGAAAGGAUAUCAGAAUCGAAUGAAGACCCCCUGGGAGUGACCUAUGCCCAGCUAAACACCAAUGCACUGUCGGAGGCAGCUUCGGUGCCCGCUGAGGACCCCCCGGAAGCUCAUGACUAUGCAACACUGAAGGUGUAGAACUGGAACCCUGGGAAGGAGAAUGUGGAUUAAGAUGACUGGGGUGGCCGGACAUAUGAAAAUCCGGGUGACUCUGUGUCCUCAGCUCAUAAUCCAGUCUCAGGAAAUCGAGGUUUUUCCCUUCUCGCUUCCCUUCCUCUCGAAAGUUCCUGGGUGGAUUUCCAUGACUUUUGGAGUGUGAUCUUAGCAUGGCUUGUCUCAACACAUAGACUAAGAACACAUCCUGUGUAUGUGGGCUGGCGGGAUGCAUCAUAUCCGCUUAGGGAGUUCAGCACGGCGCCAUGUAAACAGAAACUGGUUCCUCUGAGAAGCCUGUGUGAUCGCUGUCUGGUGAGUCACCCCAUAGACACAGGGAUUUCAGAAAGGAACAGAAAAUACAAGCCAUGAAGAGAGAGACUCAAUGUGAAUUAACAAAAAGCAUCCCUAAGUGGCAUGCACCAAGGCAAGCAGCUCAAAGUAUUGGGUUCAUGGAGUUCUCCUGUGGCGAAGCGGGUUAAGGAUGCCACAUUGUCAUUGCAAUGGAUUGGGUAGCUGCUGGGGAGGUGGGUUCGAUGCCUGGCCCAGGAACUUCCACACCCUGCAAGUGCAGCCAAAAUUCGGUUCAGGACUCCUUCAAGCUGCGCUUUCGAGCAUACCAUGGAAUAUUAUUCAGCCACACGCACAAAAAAACCCCACUGUUACAUGCCAACAACCUGGAUGAACCUAGGAAACGUCAUACUAUGGGAAAGGAGCCGGACACAAAAACCUGCAUAUUGUAGGAUUCCAUUUAUAUGAAAUAUCUAGAAUGGACAAAGGCUUAGAGACAGAAAGCAGAGUUGCUGGGGGGAGUAGGGAGGGAGGGGUGAGGAAUGACUGCUAAUAUGUAUUGGGUUUCGGGUUUUUUUUUUUUUUUUGAUCUUUUGUCUUUUUAGGGUGGCACCUGCAGCAUAUGGAGGUUCCCAGGUUCGUGGUCGAAUCAGAACCGCGGCUGCCGGCCUACACUGCAGCCACAGCCACAGAGGAUCUGAGCUGUGUCUUCCACCUACACCACAGCUCACAGUAACAGCGGAUCCUUAACCCACUGAGGGACACCAGGGAUCGAACCUGCGUCUUCAUGGAUACUGGUUGGGGUCGUUAACCACUGAGCCACGAAGGGAACUCCAGGGUUGGGUUUCUUUUGGGGGUGAUGACCAUGUGGUGGAAGCAGGUGGUGGUGAGGUUUGCAGUCUUGUGAACAGACUAAAGGCCACUGAAUUGUACACUUUAAAAGCGUGUUUACGGUGUGUGAAUUUUAGUUCAAUAAAAAACAAAGCAAAACAA